rnacentral:rRNA from 1 species
CGCAAGCCUGACGGAGCAACGCCGCGUGGGGGAGGAAUGUCUGUGGAUUGUAAACCCCUUUUCUCAGGGAAGAAGUUCUGACGGUACCUGAGGAAUCAGCAUCGGCUAACUCCGUGCCAGCAGCCGCGGUAAGACGGAGGAUGCACGCGUUAUCCGGAAUUAUUGGGCGUAAAGCGUCCGUAGGCGGCUUAUCAAGUCUGCCGUUAAAGACUGCAGCUUAACUGUGGGCCGGCGGUGGAAACUGAUGAACUUGAGUAUGGUAGGGGUAGAGGGAAUUCCCAGUGUAGCGGUGAAAUGCGUAGAUAUUGGGAAGAACACCAGUGGCGAAGGCGCUCUGCUGGGCCAUAACUGACGCUGAGGGACGAAAGCUAGGGGAGCG